GAAAUGCGAUAAGUAAUGUGAAUUGUAGAAUUCAGUGAAUCAUCGAAUCUUUGAACGCACAUUGCGCCCGCCAGUAUUCUGGCGGGCAUGCCUGUUCGAGCGUCAUUUCAACCAUCAAGCCCCGCGCUUGUGUUGGGGACCUGCGGCUGCCGCAGGCCCUGAAAACCAGUGGCGGGCUCGCUGUCACACCGGGCGUAGUAGAUUUUAUCUCGCUCAGGGCGUGCUGCGGGUUCCGGCCGUUAAAAAGCCUUUUUUACCCAAGGUUGACCUCGGAUCAGGUAGGAAGACCCGCUGAACUUAAGC
rnacentral:misc_RNA from 1 species